CGGGAUGUAGCGCAGAUGGCUAGCGCGCGUCGUUCGGGACGACGAGGUCGGCGGUUCAAGUCCGCCCAUCCCGA
rnacentral:tRNA from 1 species